AAAAAAAAAAAAAAGAAGCUACCCUAGGAAAUCCCGUAGACCUGAAAUCCCUGGUCAAAUGUGGGAUCCCACUUCACAUGGGAGGUCAUCCUUCAUUAAAAUUUCCUCCGAGAACAACCCAGAGGUUCCAAAACGCAGAGGGAACCAAAGGAAGUUCCAUAGGUGGCCAUUCACGCGUGCUCCCCACAGACCCAUAGAAUGAGCGGAAGACGCGCGUUGAAUGCUCUGGUGCCUCAGACUACAGAAUCAGUGGAGACCCUCCGGAUUCAAAGUGGCACAUUUCUCUUCCAGGGCCAGGUCUUGAAAUAUGACCCGUGUGCCAGUAUUAGGAACUGAGGGUCUGAAAGAAGCUUCCCGGGGUCACAGGGUAAACAAGUGUCAGAGCUCUGACAGACACUUAGAGGGCGAGGACCCAGAACCUGUGCUCUUGAGCUCCUGUGCUCUUGAGGAGGAGGUUGCCCACCAGGUGGACGUGCCUGGCCGAUGUCCUUCUGGGCAGGGAAUCGUCUUGUCCAUGGUCUGUCUGAGGCCACGGCAGUAUGCAGCCACUACUGCUUUGUGGUCACUUCGGGCCCUGCCUCCUCUGCUCUCGGAAAGGACAUGACACCCACCCAGAUUGCUCACGGCUAGAGGCGUUGUGCAUAAAGAUCUGGUGGGUCAAAUACAGCCCCGAAAGCCUGCAUCAAACUGGAUGUUGAAAGCACUAGUUCCUCUGUGUGAGCGUCUCGCCAGAGACCUGCCAACGCUAAAAGCAGAAGUUGGGGAGUGUUCCGUUCCCACAUUCCGAAGUGAGGUGUGGGGCAGUCUUGCCAAAACCUGGCCAGAAGGCGUCCUGCGGACAUUCACUCUUCGCUCAAGGAGGGGAUGUCAAAGAACCGAUGUGCAGCAAGGCGGGGGAAAGACUCUUUUCAGACUGUGGCCACCCUAUCAGGCAUUUUACCCCAGCUCAGGAGGGAAGGAGAAACACGGACUUCCCUUGGUUUCAAGCCAAAUGCAGGGGGCUUCAGAGAAUUGCCCCCAUGAGGGCCAGCCCAGCAGUCCACUCACUGCAGACACAGUGAGUGGUCUUCAAACCCGUGAAGGAAAAGAUGCUCUCUGAGAAAGGCUGUGGUCCAAAGAGGGCUGUUUGGAUGUCUGCUCCAAGGUAGCACUGGAGAAGACCCCUUAUGGACGCCUGUGAGAAUGACCAGGUGCUCCCACUUGUGGCGGUUUCACCUGGAAACUUUGGGCUUCUAGAACAAGGUGGCGAUGUGAUAUCAGCUGCUCCAGAGGCUCAGAAACCUCCGUGGCCACAGGAGGAUCCUCUUCAUUGGUCACAGUGGCCUAAAGGUGGAUUGCUUCCUGCUGGCCUGAUCUGUGGACAUUGCUAUGCCUCCCGUGGAGUCCCAGGGGUCACGCAGCACUUAGUUCUCCAUGAGUGAUGUGUGAAAACAUGUGCAUGUUCUGUGCAGAAUGGCUUAUCCCCAUCUCCACUGUGGCUGCUUGAACCAGAGUGUUCAGGAAGUGUCCUCCUCUUCCUGGCUUUGUUGAUCCGUAUUCUUUGUUUUAUGUAUUUAGAAUCCUAUUUCCACACACAUCAUUGAAGUAUGUCUCCUGAACCUUGUGUCUCCCCCUUUUCAGCCGGCUCUUUGGUUGCUCCUGGUCUGAUGUGUGAACUUUCCAGGGAUUCCAGGGGUUCCCCGUGGGUGGUUCCCACUUACUUGUUUUCCCACCAGUGUUGUGUGAGAAUGAGUGUAUGUUUUAGAGCAUGUGCUCUCAUUGUUAGCUCCAUCAUGGCCCCUCAAACCGAAGUGUUCAAAGGAGCACCUGUUCUGAUUGCCUUGCUGAUCCAUGAUCUUUUGGUUUUAAGUAUUUGGAAUCCUGAUUCUAUUAAUGUAUUUGAAACAUCUCCAUUUCUUGACUCUAUUUGGUGAAAUAGCUUAAGGUGUUAAUUAAGGUGAAGUGAGGUCAUUAGGGUGGGGCCUUAAUAUGUAAGGAACACUGGCCUUAAAAGGAGAGGAAAGGGACACCUGGGUGGCUCAAUCCAUAGAUCAUGUGGCUCUUGAUCUUGAGAUCAUCACUUCGAGCCCCAUGUUGAGCACAGGUCUUACUUAAUCAAAAAAAUAACUAGGUAAAUACAUAAAUAUUUGAAAAAGAAGAGCAAGUGACACCAUAGAUCUCUUUCCGUGUGUACACACAGGAAAGGCCAUGUGUAAAUGCAGGGAGAAGGCAGCCUUGUGCAAGCCAGGGAGAGAGGCUUGUCUAGAAACUUACCCUGCUAGCACUUUGAUUUUGAACUUCCAGUCUGCAGAAGUGUAAAAAAAUACAUUUCUAACGUUUACACCAUGUUUUGUG